GUGGGGAAUAUUGGACAAUGGGCGAAAGCCUGAUCCAGCCAUGCCGCGUGUGUGAAGAAGGUCUUCGGAUUGUAAAGCACUUUAAGUUGGGAGGAAGGGCAGUAAGUUAAUACCUUGCUGUUUUGACGUUACCAACAGAAUAAGCACCGGCUAACUUCGUGCCAGCAGCCGCGGUAAUACGAAGGGUGCAAGCGUUAAUCGGAAUUACUGGGCGUAAAGCGCGCGUAGGUGGUUCAGCAAGUUGAAGGUGAAAUCCCCGGGCUCAACCUGGGAACUGCCUCCAAAACUACUGGGCUAGAGUAAGGUAGAGGGUAGUGGAAUUUCCUGUGUAGCGGUGAAAUGCGUAGAUAUAGGAAGGAACACCAGUGGCGAAGGCGACUACCUGGACUGAUACUGACACUGAGGUGCGAAAGCGUGGGGAGCAAACAGGAUUAGAUACCCGGGUAGUCC
rnacentral:rRNA from 1 species